rnacentral:rRNA from 1 species
UACGUAGGUGGCAAGCGUUGUCCGGAAUCAUUGGGCGUAAAGAGCGUGUAGGCGGCCACUUAAGUCUUGCGUGAAAUCUUGCGGCUCAACCGCAAGCGGUCGUGGGAAACUGGGUGGCUAGAGUGCGGGAGAGGAGAGUGGAAUUCCUGGUGUAGCGGUGGAAUGCGCAGAUAUCAGGAAGAACACCCGUGGCGAAGGCGGCUCUCUGGAACGCAACUGACGCUGAGACGCGAAAGCGUGGGGAGCAAACAGG